GAUGAACGCUGGCGGCGUGCCUAAUACAUGCAAGUCGAGCGAACGGACGAGAAGCUUGCUUCUCUGAUGUUAGCGGCGGACGGGUGAGUAACACGUGGAUAACCUACCUAUAAGACUGGGAUAACUUCGGGAAACCGGAGCUAAUACCGGAUAAUAUUUUGAACCGCAUGGUUCAAAAGUGAAAGACGGUCUUGCUGUCACUUAUAGAUGGAUCCGCGCUGCAGUAGCUAGUUGGUAAGGUAACGGCUUACCAAGGCAACGAUGCAUAGCCGACCUGAGAGGGGGAUCGGCCACACGGGAACUGGAACACGGUCAAGACUCCUAAGGGAGGCAGCAGUAGGGAAUGUGCCGCAAUAGGCGAAAGCCUGACGGAGCAACGCCGAGUGAGUGAUGAAGGUCUUCGGAUCGUAAUACUCUGUUAUGAGGGAAGAACAGAUGUGUAAGUAACUGUGCACAUCUUGACGGGACCUUAUCAGAAAGGCACGGCUAACUACGUG
rnacentral:rRNA from 1 species